GAUGAACGCUGGCGGCGUGCCUAAUACAUGCAAGUCGAGCGAACGGACGAGAAGCUUGCUUCUCUAAUGUUAGCGGCGGACGGGUGAGUAACACGUGGAUAACCUACCUAUAAGACUGGGAUAACUUCGGGAAACCGUAGCUAAUACCGGAUAAUAUUUUGAACCGCAUGGUUCAAAAGUGAAAGACGGUCUUGCUGUCACUUAUAGAUGGAUCCGCGCUGCAUUAGCUAGUUGGUAAGGUAACGGCUUACCAAGGCAACGAUGCAUAGCCGACCUGAGAGGGUGAUCGGCCACACUGGAACUGAGACACGGUCCAGACUCCUACGGGAGGCAGCAGUAGGGAGUCUUCCGCAAUGGGCGAAAGCCUGACGGAGCAACGCCGCGUGAGUGAUGAAGGUCUUCGGAUCGUAAAACUCUGUUAUUAGGGAAGAACAUAUGUGUAAGUAACUGUGCACAUCUUGACGGUACCUAAUCAGAAAGCCACGGCUAACUACGUG
rnacentral:rRNA from 1 species